rnacentral:rRNA from 2 species
GUCGAGCGGACGGAUGGGAGCUUGCUCCCUGAAGUCAGCGGCGGACGGGUGAGUAACACGUGGGCAACCUGCCUGUAAGACUGGGAUAACUUCGGGAAACCGGAGCUAAUACCGGAUAACACCGAGGACCUCAUGGUCCUUGGUUGAAAGAUGGCUUCGGCUAUCACUUACAGAUGGGCCCGCGGCGCAUUAGCUAGUUGGUGAGGUAACGGCUCACCAAGGCGACGAUGCGUAGCCGACCUGAGAGGGUGAUCGGCCACACUGGGACUGAGACACGGCCCAGACUCCUACGGGAGGCAGCAGUAGGGAAUCUUCCGCAAUGGACGAAAGUCUGACGGAGCAACGCCGCGUGAGCGAUGAAGGCCUUCGGGUCGUAAAGCUCUGUUGUUAGGGAAGAACAAGUACCGUUCGAAUAGGGCGGUACCUUGACGGUACCUAACCAGAAAGCCACGGCUAACUACGUGCCAGCAGCCGCGGUAAUACGUAGGUGGCAAGCGUUGUCCGGAAUUAUUGGGCGUAAAGCGCGCGCAGGCGGUUCCUUAAGUCUGAUGUGAAAGCCCACGGCUCAACCGUGGAGGGUCAUUGGAAACUGGGGAACUUGAGUGCAGAAGAGGAAAGCGGAAUUCCACGUGUAGCGGUGAAAUGCGUAGAGAUGUGGAGGAACACCAGUGGCGAAGGCGGCUUUCUGGUCUGUAACUGACGCUGAGGCGCGAAAGCGUGGGGAGCAAACAGGAUUAGAUACCCUGGUAGUCCACGCCGUAAACGAUGAGUGCUAAGUGUUAGGGGGUUUCCGCCCCUUAGUGCUGCAGCUAACGCAUUAAGCACUCCGCCGGGGGAGUACGGCCGCAGGGCUGAAACUCAAAGGAAUUGACGGGGGCCCGCACAAGCGGUGGAGCAGGUGGUUUAAUUCGAAGCAACGCGAAGAACCUUACCAGGUCUUGACAUCCUCUGACAACUCUAGAGAUAGAGCGUUCCCCUUC